rnacentral:lncRNA from 1 species
AGGAUGCCCAGCCAGCACCCCCUCCUUCUUUGAGCUGGUUUUCUCCUGGGAGAGCCCCACGAGGGGGGCUAGAAAAUGUCCCUAAAAGUACUGUGUUGGUACCACGGAGGCAUCUGGAAAAUCUCUGCUCAGCUGGAAGGCACCGACCCAGCAGGCUGUGGGAAGGGAAAGAUUCUAACCUGGCCUUGCUCUCUCACUCCACAGGGCAAUCAGGACGCCACGGCUCCGCCUGAGGCGAUGGCCCAGCCCUACCCCCCUGCCCAGUACCCCCCUCCGCCUCAGAACGGCAUCCCCACCGAGUACGCCCCGCCCCCGCCGCACCCCACGCAGGACUACUCCGGCCAGACCCCCGUUCCCCCAGAGCACGGCAUGACCCUGUACACACCAGCACAGACCCACCCUGAGCAGCCGGGCACCGAGGCCAGCACGCAGCCCAUCGCAGUGACCCAGACAGUGCCGCAGACAGAUGAAGCGGCACAGACGGACAGCCAGCCACUCCACCCCUCCGACCCCACAGAGAAGCAGCAGCCCAAGCGGCUGCACGUCUCCAACAUCCCUUUCCGGUUCAGGGACCCCGAUCUGCGGCAAAUGUUCGGGGUGAGUGUGCUCAAGCUGGUCCAUCCUUGCUCCUACCCCAUGACCCGGGUGCCAGAGCAGCUUCCUUCCGCCUGGGGACCCUGUGGGGCAGGACAGGAGGUCUGCUGUGGCAGCCCCAUUCCCUGGCCAGAAAUCCCCACCACCAGGGUCACUGUCCUCAGGGGCUCCCUAGGGUCCCCUGGGUUAUCAGUCUCUGGUUACUGCUUUCUGACUCCUGACCCUAGCAGAGAGCCCUGGGGGGAGAGCCCAGCCUUCUGCCCACACACAGGGGGACAGACCACUCACCCCUGCCCAAGCCUGAGUCCUCCUGGUCCCUAACGAGGUGACCUGAAAAUGCACAGUUGAUGUGAAGCAAGUGAGGACCCCCACCUGAAUCUCUUGUCUGUUUCUCAGUUUUGCGCCAGGGAUUCCGGCAGUUGCAGGGCUACCCUUGAGUCCUGUCACUGGACUUGAGCACCUGGAAGGUGCUGACACCCAUUGUGCUGGGGCUGCUGCGGAGGAACAGGCUGGGUGCGAUGCUACCUCGCAGGCCUGCCCUGGCCACAGAGGACCGUGGAGCCUGGCCUGUGUUUCAUGCCUGCCCCUGGACCUGCUCCCACCUCUCCCACACAGUGGGGCAGCUCUGACCCCAAGCCCCAGCCAGCCCCACAGGUUCAUUCCACACAGCUGGGACUUGUCAGGGAAAUAGGGUGCAGCAGCCCAAUAUGGACAAGCCCCAACACCCAUCUCUAGGGUGACCCCAGAAAUCUACUCCCCAUCCCGGGAUUUGGCCUCAUUGGGUUUGGAGCUCAGACUUGCCACACCGCUGACAUGAUUGAGUCAUCAGAGGGAAAGGCUGUGUCCCCUCUCGGCCCUAGGGCUCAGGUGCCACCAGAUUUCCCUGGGCCCAGCUCCCCUUACAGCG